rnacentral:rRNA from 1 species
CCUACGGGGUGCAGCAGUGGGGGAUAUUGCACAAUGGGGGAAACCCUGAUGCAGCGACGCCGCGUGUGGGAAGACGGUCUUCUGGAUUGUAAACCACUGUCCCCAGGGACGAAAAUGACGGUACCUGGGGAGGAAGCUCCGGCUAACUACGUGCCAGCAGCCGCGGUAAUACGUAGGGAGCAAGCGUUGUCCGGAAUUACUGGGUGUAAAGGGAGUGUAGGCGGGGAUGCAAGGUGGGUGUCAAAACUACCGGCUCAACCGAGAGUCGCACUCAAAACUGCAGCUCUUGAGUGAAGUAGAGGCAGGCGGAAUUCCUAGUGUAGCGGUGAAAUGCGUAGAUAUUAGGAGGAACACCAGUGGCGAAGGCGGCCUGCUUGGCUUUUACUGACGCUGAGGCUCGAAAGUGUGGGGAGCAAACAGGAUUAGAUACCCCGGUAGUC